rnacentral:rRNA from 1 species
UACGGAGGGUGCGAGCGUUAUUCGGAAUUACUGGGCGUAAAGCGCGUGCAGGCGGUUUGGCAAGUCUGAUGUGAAAGCCCCGGGCUUAACCUGGGAAGUGCAUUGGAAACUGCCGGACUUGAGUACUGGAGAGGAAGGGGGAAUUCCCGGUGUAGAGGUGAAAUUCGUAGAGAUCGGGAGGAAUACCAGUGGCGAAGGCGCCCUUCUGGACGGUUACUGACGCUGAGACGCGAAAGCGUGGGGAGCAAACAGGAUUAGAUACCCUGGUAGUCCACGCUGUAAACGAUGAGCACUAGGUGUAGCGGGUACUCAUUCCUGCUGUGCCGCAGCUAACGCGUUAAGUGCUCCGCCUGGGGAUUACGGUCGCAAGACUAAA